rnacentral:piRNA from 1 species
UCAUUAAGAAAGGUCAGGGCAGCUCUCCA